AUUGAACGCUGGCGGCAGGCCUAACACAUGCAAGUCGAACGGUAACAGGAAGCAGCUUGCUGCUUUGCUGACGAGUGGCGGACGGGUGAGUAAUGUCUGGGAAACUGCCUGAUGGAGGGGGAUAACUACUGGAAACGGUGGCUAAUACCGCAUAACGUCGCAAGACCAAAGAGGGGGACCUUCGGGCCUCUUGCCAUCAGAUGUGCCCAGAUGGGAUUAGCUUGUUGGUGAGGUAACGGCUCACCAAGGCGACGAUCCCUAGCUGGUCUGAGAGGAUGACCAGCCACACUGGAACUGAGACACGGUCCAGACUCCUACGGGAGGCAGCAGUGGGGAAUAUUGCACAAUGGGCGCAAGCCUGAUGCAACCAUGCCGCGUGUAUGAAGAAGGCCUUCGGGUUGUAAAGUACUUUCAGCGGGGAGGAAGGUGUUGUGGUUAAUAACCGCAGCAAUUGACGUUACCCGCAGAAGAAGCACCGGCUAACUCCGUGCCAGCAGCCGCGGUAAUACGGAGGGUGCAAGCGUUAAUCGGAAUUACUGGGCGUAAAGCGCACGCANGCGGUCUGUCAAGUCGGAUGUGAAAUCCCCGGGCUCAACCUGGGAACUGCAUUCGAAACUGGCAGGCUUGAG
rnacentral:rRNA from 1 species